AAAAAAGAAAAAAAACUAUCCGUUAACAGUCUAGAAAUAUCAAAUCGACAUCACAAUCCUUGCGUUAAAAAACAACCCGUCUGUUACGCUUCCACUUUAUUGAUUUUGAUUUACAGUACACGAAAAAAAAAUUCCUUGAUCUUUCAAGUUCCUCUUUUCUUUGCCUGUUAAAUUCUGUAUCAACAAUGGAGUUCCACGGUGGAGACAGACAAAGUACAAGUAUGGAGCGAAGAGACAGGAUUUCUUGGAUCAUAUUAUGCAGCGCACAGCGGUCAAGAAACUUGAGGCCAACUCUUAAGUAGUGCAGUACGAGAACCUAGUGGAAGAGGAAGACAUGUCAAAGCAUCUGAUAGAGACACACCGCAAGCCCAGCGCUAAAACACACCGCUGGAGCACUAUACUCAACGGCCUUAACCUGCGCACUCACCCAACCCCUAAACCAUUAACUCGCCCGCUCGCCCGCUCAAACCCAGUCCUCCACUACUCCUCAUCUUCUUCAAGCCAAGCCCCUUUCUAGUCGAUGGAGUGACAAUUUCAAGGUGGAUGAUUCUGUAAUUUCAGGAUGUAUGUAAAGCAGGCAUUUAACCUGCUUGCUUAGUUCUCUUCAUUGUGCAACCAACAAUAGGCAGGAGAACCAAAAUCAUAUCGGAUCUGCUGAUAUCUGUUUCAAAAGAAUAGAGACAAGCCAGGAUUAAAGUUCACCAAGAUUCCUUAAGACUUGGUAGUGUGGGUGUUAUCGGGCUUUUGGCUCUGAUUCGUCGGUCCUUUUCGCUUUAUUGAUGCAUUGGAAUUGCUGCCCAUGAAAGGUGCUCCAAGUUGGCAAGUUGUGCAGGAUGUUUGCAGGUUAUACAAGGUGUUUUUGUGUUGGGAAGGUGUUGAUCCUACGUGAGGCUGGAUUUGUUUUGGGUUACCCAAUCCAUCUUCUCUGUUUGGGGGUUAUAGGAAUAUCAUGUAUCGGGUAUCUCAUUGGUAAUAUUUUUAUGUUUGGGUACCUAUGUAAACCUCGGUUGAAAACUAUUCGUUAUAGCCUAGAAAAAUCAAACCAACCUCACAAUCCUUUUCCCUUCAGGAAAAUAGUCAGGGCCAAAAACAACCCACCUGCAACACUUCCAUUUCAUUGAUUUUGAUUUGUAGUACACAAAAAACAAUUUCUUGCUCAUCAAGUUCCUCUUUUCUUUGCCUGUUAUUAAUUUCUUUAACAACAAUGGAGUUCCACAAGGGAGACAAAGUAGAAGAGGGUCCAUGUAUUUUGUGUACUUCGUUCGAGACUAUAGGGUUGAGGUUGCUUACCAUGUUUCAAGUUUGAGGUUUCACUUGGAUUGGUCUAAUGGCUGGUCAAGUUGUUGAAUUGCUGCAUUCAUCAGAAAAAAGUGGGAGGGGCUUGGCUAUUAUAUGCUUGAAAAGCGUAUUGUGCGGGACUGGUCAGAGCGUGUAUGUUUGGUGUGUAAGGAUUUCCUUAUCCAAAACUUGGAUAGCGCAAUCCCAUACACCGCAACCCCUUUCAGUUUGUUUUUCAUUGUGAAUUAUUAAUUUGUUUUAAAUAUAAUCUUAUUCAUUUGUUGUGUGAUGAGUAUUUUAAAUAUUUGGACUGAAGGAUUAUUCCCUUUUUGAUGAGUGUCAAUAGUCAAAUUUAUCUCUUGUAUUGCUAUCCAUGCAAACAAUGCACUUAAGAGCCUUUGUUCUAGGGUCCCCUUAACUUUCCCUCUAAAAAGCUACAUAUCCAGACUACCAUCAGACUUAACCUUAAUCGAAUAGACCCACUUACAUCCAAGUGGAGACACACCUGCAGGACAAUCCACCACGUCCCAAGUCUUGUUAGUCUCAAGAGCACAGUUCUUCUUCUAUGGCCUGCUGCCAGAAUUGUUCUUUGACUGCCUGUGAAUAACCAGUAGGAAUAACAUUAGAAGAUAGAGUGGCUAGCAAUGCAGAAGUAGUAUUUUAGCAUUGUUCUUUGACUAUUACUUUAGCCCCUCAUGGCUUGCUUGGAAAUGCAUGGCAGUGUAUUUUAACAUCGAUUAAUAGGAAGAUUGCUGCUUGUGCCUGUGAAUUUUUUUUUUAAUGCUGUGUUUUUCUUUUCCUUUUAAGAUUUCUCUGAACUAUUUAUCAUUGACGUGAAAUAUGCUUUUCUGCCUUAAACAUAAUGUUACAAAAUGGAAUUCCUUGGCCAUAGAUAUCCGAGGAGGUGUUUAAGCAGUGUUAGAUUAUCUUGACAUUCAAUUUGAAGACUCUUUAUCCAGGAUCUAAACUGUAUUGUUUCAUUUUAUUUUCCGAAGCAAGGUAGCCCUUAUAUAUUUCUGUCCUUUUCUCAUGUGGAGGAGGCUCGGAGUAAGAUUUCUUAAAAUCAGUAAAGAUGUUUAAUGAGGUGUUGAAUUGAAUGCCUAUGAGGAGUCCAAGGACUUGGAGAAGGUGCUCAAAGAUCUUACGAAAGAAGUUCAAGCAUUGAGCAGAGAGAAAGAGGAAGCAAAGAAAUGACAAACAUAAGCGAUAAAAAAGCAGACAGAGCUUGAGCUUGAUGUGAAAGACCUGCUAGAGAGAAUUUCAGGACAUAUCCAAGCAAAGGACGAUGCUAUGAUUUAACAUGUGCUAUGCCAAAAUGUAAGGCCUCUUGCUUGCUGUCAUGCAUGCCUAUAUGCUAAUGGGUGUAUGGUAAUACAUUGCCCCAAAAGUUUCUGUAUAUUUGUUGCUAACUGAGGUGGGUGACUUUUUGCAAGAAAAUAGUUUAUUAUCGUUUAUUAUUGCCACCUGUUGCACUAGAGGUGAUAGACUGAUGUUGCACUGAUGUGUCUUGGCCUCAAACCCUAGAAAAAUAAUAUUACUUGUCACUGAAAAAUGAGUAAAUAAAAAUAAACGAAUUAUUCCUCAUGCUUUUACAAUGUCUAUCUGCUAUUUGUGAUUUAUUAAGAUACAUUUUGAGUAUUAACAUUAGUUUUUGUUACUAUGAAGGCAAAGGUGAUGGUACAAAUGCAAAAUCUGGAGCACAUGAAGAAGAUUUUCUCAUCCAGGAUGAGAUUUCUAAAUCUUGUCUAGUGAGUGUCUAGCGUGAGGAAGAGACAAUUUUGCAUGAGAGAGACGGCUAUAAACUGGAAGAGGGACGUCUUAUACGUGAAUUGAAAAGGAUACGAGAUGAGGAUGAUUCAAGUUUUAAUAAUUUUCAGAUUUUAAAUCAUCAAUAUGCCCUUUUAAACCUUCUUGGGCAAGGAGGAUUUAGUGAGGUUUACAAGGUCCGAACUUCGGCAAGUAGUUUCAAUUGAUAAUAGAAAGUAGUUUCAUUUGAUAAUAGAAACACUAACCUUUGCUUGUUUGAUGAAAAUUCUUAUAUACCAUGACAAGAGUAUAGAUCAUUCUGUUGCCAAUAUUGGCAAUUGUAAAAGCACAUCCUUUUGCAGUGGUUUGAAGUGAGAAAUUUCCGGCAGGCUUAUGAUUUGGUCGAGCAUAGGAAGGUGCAGAGCAUCAUGUUUUAUCUGCUUUUGUUGAGAUUGUGUUGAUAAUUCCGACAAUCACAUCCCGGAAAACUGAAGUUAUGAAUUUAUUGGAAAGUGGUGGGUUCUCUUGCUCCAAUCUAUAGCAGCAAGGAAAGCAUCAUUGACAGUGAUGAAAGACUUUGAGUGUCUUGAUUUAUUGAAAGAAGUUAGUGGCACUCAAGUGUAUGAAGAGAGACGCCAUGAAAGAAUAUUUGAUUCCUUGAACCUUUUGUUAGUGCUUAAUUUUGCUAAAAAUUAUGUAUAUUCUUUUCCUAUUGAUUUUUAAAUUUCGUGUUUUUUGUGACACUUAAUAGAUAGCAUCAUUGACAUUGUUGACAGACUCUGAGUGUCUCGAAUGUGGGAUGCCAUGAAAGUUUGAAAAUUAUUCUGGAAACAUGCAAGGUUAGUGGCACUCAAGUGUAUGAAGAGAGACGCCAUGAAAGAAUAUUUGAUUCCUUGAACCUUUUGUUAGUGCUUAAUUUUGCUAAAAAUUAUGUAUAUUCUUUUCCUAUUGAUUUUUAAAUUUCGUGUUUCUUGUGACACUUAAUAGAUAGCAUCAUUGACAAUGUUGACAGACUCCGAGUGUCUCGAAUGUGGGAUGCCAUGAAAGUUUGAAAAUUAUUCUGGAAACAUGCAAGGAAGGGAUAGUUGAGGCGGGUUUUCUUCUGUUGAUGGUUUUUCAGGGUGUAUAAUUUUAUUUUCUCUGUUAAACAGGGAUCAAUAGAAAACAAAUAAUUCAAGUAGUUCAGUACUUGGAUGAGAGGCUGAAGGACCGGUAUGAAGAGAAAAGGGAGGUGAGAAAAUAUCAGCAGCUUGACAAGCAGUGAAAAUCUCUAGAAUAUACUAUUUAUGAUAAGGAACUCCAAUGAGCUCAACAGAUAUUAUUGGAGGUGAAGGAGGCUCGAAGCAAGGUCUCUGAGAAAUUGGCUAAGAUGCAUGAUGAGGUGUUGAAUGCCCAUGAGGAAUCUAAGGACUUGGAGAAGGUGCUCAAAGAUCUUACAAAAGAAGUUCAAGCAUUGAACAUAGCGAAAGAGGUAGCAGAGAAACGAGAAACAGGAAGCGAUAAAAAAAGCGGAAAGAGCUUGAGCUUGAUAUGAAAGACCUGCAAGAGUCCCUAGAGUUAUAAUGGAGCGUGAAAAGCAGCUUAGCAUCCUUUAUCAAAAAACAAGGUCGGGCAACCCAUUUUCCAGCAAAGCUACUCGUGAACAAAGGCUGCAAAAGGAAAAUGGUGAUUUACAAUGUCUUUUUCCUUCAAAUUUGGCUCAGGCAAGAGUUCAAAUUAGUCUAUUAUGAUACUUUAACAUCAAUGCAGAUGUAUGCUGCUAGUGUUGUCAGAAUCUUCCAAUAGGUGGCACUUUCUUAUCUCAUGCUCAUCAUUUAAUUAGGAAAGGACUAGGCCCUCAUAUCUAAUAAUUCCCUGAUCAAAACACAAUGUUAAGGGUUUUCUUUUUUAUUUUCUUUUUUGAAUUGUUUAGGUAGUUUUAGUAAAUUGGACUUAACAGGAGCUAUAUCUAAAGAAAUGAUUAACCUCUCUGGCA